rnacentral:rRNA from 1 species
AGUGAACGCUGGCGGUAGGCCUAACACAUGCAAGUCGAACGGCAGCACAGUAAGAGCUUGCUCUUACGGGUGGCGAGUGGCGGACGGGUGAGGAAUACAUCGGAAUCUACUUUUUCGUGGGGGAUAACGUAGGGAAACUUACGCUAAUACCGCAUACGACCUACGGGUGAAAGCAUGGGAUCUUUGGACCUUGCGCGAUUGAAUGAGCCGAUGUCGGAUUAGCUAGUUGGCGGGGUAAAGGCCCAGCAAGGCGACGAUCCGUAGCUGGUCUGAGAGACUGGUAGCCCGCAUGAGAGCUGAGACGCGGUCCAGACUCCUGCGAGAGGCAGCAGUCGGGAAUAGUGGACAACGGGCGGAAGCCUGAUCCAGCCGGAGCGAGUGGGUGAAAGAGGCCUUCCGGUUGUAAAGCCCUUUUGUUGGGAAAGAACAGCUGCAGGUUGAUACCCCGCGGUUCUGACGGUACCCAGUGAAUAAGCACCGGCUAACUACGUG